GGAGAGGUGGCUCAGUGGUUAAGAGCACUGGCUGCUCUUCCAGUGGACCUGGGUUCAAUUCCCAGCAUCCACA
rfam:Neotoma lepida isolate 417 scaffold_629, whole genome shotgun sequence.